rnacentral:lncRNA from 1 species
CCCUUGCCGGCCACGGCCCCGGGGCCGUUUUCCGAGUGUUCUUCGGGGCCAGCAAGAGUGGGCCUUCCUCCCUCUACUAUGUCACCGUCACCUCCAGAACCGAAGGCUUUGCCAAGGAAGCCCCUUCUCUGCUCUGGCCCCAUCACCAGCCCCGGGUCUUAAGUGGGUCCGGGGUCUCGGGGAGCACCUGCUCUGGCCUCCCCUGGCCUCCCCGACCCCAUCUCCUGACGGCUCCUCUGACGAUGUGUGUGCUGUGGAGACGUAGGCCUCCAGCCUUCCGGACGGUGGGUGAUCGUCCCCCACACUCGGAUGCUCGGUCUCAGGCCACCGGAUCUGGCAGAAAUCGGUGAUUUUUCGGAACGUGGGAAGGUGCCCGCAGCUGGCACUAGUGUGUUUUUUGUCACUUCGAGGCACCUGUGAAGAGUCCUUUGCUUUUCCGGACAAGAGUGAGCUCAGGAGCACUUUGCCUCAUUCUGCGUCAGGCUUCCCGCAGACACGGACCCUUUCCUCUGCUGCCUUAUUGCCGCUUACAUUAAAUACCGUAGAUGACAAGAGUUUAUUCAUACUGUACUGAGUCAACAUCCGUGUGAGUGUAUACAGCGGCCCCCGUGCAGAAAAACGUGGAAA